AGCGGCGGAUGGGUGAGUAACACGUGGGGAACCUGCCCCUAAGUCUGGGAUACCAUUUGGAAACAGGUGCUAAUACCGGAUAAUAAAGCAGAUCGCAUGAUCAGCUUUUGAAAGGCGGCGUAAGCUGUCGCUAAGGGAUGGCCCCGCAGUGCAUUAGCUAGUUGGUAAGGUAACGGCUUACCAAGGCGACGAUGCAUAGCCGAGUUGAGAGACUGAUCGGCCACAUUGGGACUGAGACACGGCCCAAACUCCUACGGGAGGCAGCAGUAGGGAAUCUUCCACAAUGGACGCAAGUCUGAUGGAGCAACGCCGCGUGAGUGAAGAAGGUUUUCGGAUCGUAAAGCUCUGUUGUUGGUGAAGAAGGAUAGAGGUAGUAACUGGCCUUUAUUUGACGGUAAUCAACCAGAAAGUCACGGCUAACUACGUGCCAGCAGCCGCGGUAAUACGUAGGUGGCAAGCGUUGUCCGGAUUUAUUGGGCGUAAAGCGAGCGCAGGCGGAAAAAUAAGUCUAAUGUGAAAGCCCUCGGCUUAACCGAGGAACUGCAUCGGAAACUGUUUUUCUUGAGUGCAGAAGAGGAGAGUGGAACUCUCUGUGUAGCGGUGGAAUGCGUAGAUAUAUGGAAGAACACCAGUGGCGAAGGCGGCUCUCUGGUCUGCAACUGACGCUGAGGCUCGAAAGCAUGGGUAGCGAACAGGAUUAGAUACCCUGGUAGUCCAUGCCGUAAACGAUGAGUGCUAAGUGU
rnacentral:rRNA from 1 species